rnacentral:tRNA from 1 species
GCGGCUGUGGCGAAAUUGGUAGACGCACCAGAUUUAGGUUCUGGCGCCGCAAGGUGUGAAGGUUCGAGUCCUUUCAGCCGCA